rnacentral:rRNA from 1 species
CCAGCAGCCGCGGUAAUUCCAGCUCCAGUAGCGUAUACGUACUUUGUUGCAGUUAAAAAGCUCGUAGUUUGAUGAGAAAGUAAAACAUUGGAUGGAAGUGGGAUGAAAAAUCUCAACGGAAGUCAUAGGUUUUAUUUUUAUAUUAGUUAAAGAAUGGACAUAGCAUUUCGGUGUUAUGGGGGAGGGAAACCGAACCAGGAGGGCUUUCGGGCUCUUUUUUCAUCUUUAUAGUUUACUUUGAAUAAAUUAGAGUGUUUAAAACAGGCCGAAAACGAAUGUUUUUACAGCUUGAAUAGUACAGCAUGGGAUAAUGGAACAGGACUUUUGAUUGAAUUGUUGGAACAGUUUGUCGAUCAAGAACGAAAGU